UACGUAGGGGGCAAGCGUUGUCCGGAAUCAUUGGGCGUAAAGAGCGCGUAGGCGGUCCGGUAAGUCAGCUGUGAAAGUCAAGGGCUCAACCCUUGAAAGCCGGUUGAUACUGUCGGGCUAGAGUCCGGAAGAGGCGAGUGGAAUUCCCGGUGUAGCGGUGAAAUGCGCAGAUAUCGGGAGGAACACCAAUGGCGAAGGCAGCUCGCUGGGACGGUACUGACGCUGAGGCGCGAAAGCGUGGGGAGCAAACAGGAUUAGAUACCCGAGUAGUCC
rnacentral:rRNA from 1 species